rnacentral:rRNA from 1 species
CCCUUAGAUGUUCUGGGCCGCACGCGCGCUACACUGAUGCAUUCAACGAGCCUAUCCUUGACCGACAGGUCCGGGUAAUCUUUGAAUCUGCAUCGUGACGGGGAUAGAUUAUUGCAAUUAUUAAUCUUCAACGAGGAAUGCCUAGUAGGCGCAAGUCAUCAGCUUGCGUCGAUUACGUCCCUGCCCUUUGUACACACCGCCCGUCGCUCCUACUGAUUGGGUGUUCAAGUGAGAUGCUUAGACCCUUGUUGCAUGGUUCAUUAUUGUGCUCCGAAAGGAAAAAGUUUCAAGCUUGAGUGUCUAGAGGAAGUAAAAGUCGUAACA